CCCAUUAUCACCUUGACAAGUCAGAGUUUCUUUGCACAAGAAUGUGUGUAUCCCCAGAAGGUAUGUGUCUUUCAGCUGUUCACCUUCUGUUUGCUCUCAUGGUCAUUUUCUUUAUCCAAGGAGAGGGAACCAAAGGGCACAAACACUACUUAGUGACUAGCACUCUGCCUGGGAGCUAGCCCUGGCCUCUACUCUCUGCCACCAUUACCCAUAUGUUACACACAGGCCGGAGUAUCUUCCUAACCCAUGCUCCUCAUUGGACAACAUGGCUAGCUCCUCAUGGGUAGGCCCAGGGUAGGUAGGGCCAUGUCAGUAGCCUGCAGAUGAACCGAGUCCAGCAUCUUCUCUAACUUCUGUCUACCAACAUGCCACCAACAAGUUUAGAGGAAACAAGCUGGUCACUUGGGAUGCGUCUUUCAAGCAAACCGGAACCUUAGUACGCUGCCCUCUGUCUCUGUUUUCUGUCCACAGUGGUGUGAAGAAGUGCUCUCUUGUGAUCAUGAUACUCUACCCAAGCACGUCAUGCUACAGGAAGGACUCUGCCUGCCUGCGAACUCAGCAAGACUUCUCCUGCCAAAUCCCCUCAUGGUGUUACUUCUUCCUCGUUAACCUACCAGGGCAAUUUUACAUUGACUUAUGAGCUUCCCUGGUGGAUAACAGCAUUUCCCACCAGAAUCCAGGCUUAAUGAGGAGGGGACCAUGUUCAAUUUUACCCAUGGAGAGACUUAUGGUGCCGAUCACCAUGCUGAGCACAUAUUAACACUUAAUAAAAAAAUAUUCCCAGUGAAUAAUAAAAGUCAAAUUAUCAAUAAAGUAAUUAAUCA
rnacentral:lncRNA from 1 species